GAGCUCUUCAGCAUGUCCCUCAAUGCCAAGACCAAGGUGCGAGGGCUUAUCGAGAUCAUCUCCAAUGCAGCAGAGUAUGAGAACAUUCCCAUCCGGCACCAUGAAGACAAUCUCCUGAGGCAGUUGGCUCAGAAGGUCCCCCACAAGCUGAAUAACCCUAAGUUCAAUGAUCCGCACGUCAAGACCAACCUGCUCCUGCAGGCUCACUUGUCUCGCAUGCAGCUGAGUGCUGAGUUGCAGUCAGAUACGGAGGAAAUCCUUAGUAAGGUAGAGUGUGGGUGUGGGGCAGAGGGGCCAGUGGUGCUCUAAACAUCUCAGCUCCCACUCCGCCCACUUUUGUACACCUUUUCCUGUUCAGGCAAUCCGGCUCAUCCAGGCCUGCGUGGAUGUCCUUUCCAGCAAUGGGUGGCUCAGCCCUGCUCUGGCAGCUAUGGAACUGGCCCAGAUGGUCACCCAAGCCAUGUGGUCCAAGGACUCAUACCUGAAGCAGCUGCCACACUUCACCUCUGAGCAUAUCAAACGUUGCACAGACAAGGUGAG
rnacentral:sRNA from 1 species